UAUAUUGUAUGGAUAUAUUAUAUAAUAUAUAGUUUUUGUUCAUGAUAUCGAUAAGUGCCCUUGGUGCAAAUCUUGGUGGUAGUAAGAAAUAUUCAAAUGAGAACUUUGAAGACUGAAGUGGGGAAAGGUUCCAUGUGAACAACACUUGGACAUGGGUUAGUCAAUCCUAAGAGAUGGGGAAUCCCUGUAUAAAGGGUUCACUCUGCAUGAACAUCGAAAUGUAAUUGGGUUAAUAUUAUCGAACCAGGACAUGGCAGUGGAUGAAAACAUUAGGAAAUAUGGAGACGUUGUUGGGGGGCCCAUGAAGAGUUAUCUUUUCUUUUUAAUGACUUGCCGAACCUGAAAUUGGUUCAACUGGAGAUAGGGUCCAACAGCUGGAAGAGCACUACACGUCUUGCGGUGUCCGGUGCCCCCUCGAUGACCAUUAAAAAUAUGGAGGACUGAGUACUGUCCAUGCCCGAUCGUACUCAUAACCGCAUUAGCUCUCUAAGGUGAACAACCUCUGGUUAAUAGAACAAUGUAGGUAAGGGAAGUCAACAAAACAAAUCCGUAACUUUGGGAAAAGGAUUGGCUCUGAGGGUUGGGCCAAGGGGUCCGCGUCUUCAACCCAUGGAACAUCUACAGUCUUCUCGAGUUGCUCUUGUGGUGAGAGCGGGUUGUCACGUGUCGAUUGGGAUAUGAAUGUAGAAUUUUCCCUCCCGAGGGAUUUUCCAUAGGCGGUGAAAAGUCGACUCAGAACUAGUACGGACAAGGGGAAUCCAACUAUUUAAUUAAAACAAAACAUUGUGAUUGUCCCUAUGAAUGCUGACACAAUGUGAUUCAUUCCCAGUUCUCUAAAUGUCAAAGUGAAUAAAUUCAACCAAACGUGGGUAAACGACGGGAGUAACUAUGAAUCUAUUAAGGUAGCCAAAUUCCUCUUCAUCUAAUUACUGACACGCAUGAAUGGAUUAACGAGAUUCCCAUUGUCCCUAUCUACUAUCUAGAAAAACCACAACCAAGGGAACGUGAUUGGUAUAAU
rnacentral:ncRNA from 1 species